GGCUGGAUUUCUUUCUUUCUUUCUUUCUUUCUUUCUUUCUUUCUUUUUUUUUUUUUUUUUUUUUUUUUUGGUUUUUUGGUAUUUCGAGACAGGGUUUCUUUGUAUAACCCUGGCUGUCCUGGAACUCACUCUUUAGACCAGGCUGGCCUCGAACUCAGAAAUCCUCCUGACUCUGCCUCCCGAGUGCUGGGAUUAAAGGCAUGCGCCACCACACCCGGCUGCAAGCUGGAUUUCAAACAAUCAAUGUGGGAAGAAGUUUGGUUAAUGGUUAUUCCAGGAGAUAGAGCUAAAGCUAGCUGCUGCCACAGAUUGCUUAUUCCAGUUCUGGGAGCCUGGGUAAGGCGGGGUCCUGUGGACAGAUGUGCCACACCUAGAGGGUAG
rnacentral:lncRNA from 1 species